CGCGCGGCUGUCAGCGCCAGCUUCAGCAGGCCGAAAGCCUCGUCGCUGUUUUCCUUGAGCAUCCGCAUCGAGCCGCGCAGAUAGUCGCGGGUCACCGAAAAACUCAUCUCGAUGGCGCGCCGUUCGAGGCGCUCAUGAAAUGUCUUCGAAUCGAGAUCGGCGGCGCCUUCGUCGAGCAUGUUAGCGGUGAAAGCGCCGAUGCCGGGUUUGUCGGCGGGGUC
rnacentral:misc_RNA from 1 species